UACGAAGGGGGCUAGCGUUGUUCGGAAUUACUGGGCGUAAAGCGCGCGCAGGCGGUCUUCCAAGUCAGUGGUGAAAGCCCGGAGCUCAACUCCGGAACUGCCAUUGAAACUGUUGGACUUGAGUACGAGAGAGGUGAGUGGAAUUCCCAGUGUAGAGGUGAAAAUUCGUAGAUAUUGGGAAGAACACCGGUGGCGAAGGCGGCUCUCUGGACCGACACUGACGCUGAGGCGCGAAAGCGUGGGG
rnacentral:rRNA from 1 species